rnacentral:rRNA from 1 species
UACAGGGGGGGCAAGCGUUGUUCGGAAUUACUGGGCGUAAAGGGUCUGUAGGUGGCCAACUAAGUCAGACGUGAAAUCCCUCAGCUUAACUGGGGAACUGCGUCUGAUACUGAUUGGCUUGAGUGCAGGAGAGGAACGCGGAAUUCCAGGUGUAGCGGUGAAAUGCGUAGAUAUCUGGAGGAACACCGGUGGCGAAGGCGGCGUUCUGGACUGUAACUGACACUGAGAGACGAAAGCCAGGGGAGCAAACGGG